CCGUCGAUAGCUCAGUUGGCAGAGCGGCGGACUGUAGAUCCAUAGGUCGCUGGUUCAACUCCGGCUCGACGGA
rnacentral:tRNA from 1 species